CGGGCUUUAGCUAAGUGGUAGAGCUCCCACUUCGUAUGCGGGAAGACCCGGGUUCGUUUCGCGGAUGCUUAU
rnacentral:tRNA from 1 species